rnacentral:rRNA from 1 species
AAAAAGAAGAGUGGCGAACGGGUGAGUAACACGUGGGUAACCUGCCCAUCAGAAGGGGAUAACACUUGGAAACAGGUGCUAAUACCGUAUAACAAUCGAAACCGCAUGGUUUUGAUUUGAAAGGCGCUUUCGGGUGUCGCUGAUGGAUGGACCCGCGGUGCAUUAGCUAGUUGGUGAGGUAACGGCUCACCAAGGGCCACGAUGCAUAGCCGACCUGAGAGGGUGAUCGGCCACAUUGGGACUGAGACACGGCCCAAACUCCUACGGGAGGCAGCAGUAGGGAAUCUUCGGCAAUGGACGAAAGUCUGACCGAGCAACGCCGCGUGAGUGAAGAAGGUUUUCGGAUCGUAAAACUCUGUUGUUAGAGAAGAACAAGGAUGAGAGUAACUGUUCAUCCCUUGACGGUAUCUAACCAGAAAGCCACGGCUAACUACGUGCCAGCAGCCGCGGUAAUACGUAGGUGGCAAGCGUUGUCCGGAUUUAUUGGGCGUAAAAGCGAGCGCAGGCGGUUUCUUAAGUCUGAUGUGAAAGCCCCCGGCUCAACCGGGG